rnacentral:rRNA from 1 species
AACGAACGCUGGCGGCAGGCUUAACACAUGCAAGUCGAACGCCCCGCAAGGGGAGUGGCGGACGGGUGAGUAACACGUGGGAACGUGCCUUUAGGUUCGGAAUAACUCAGGGAAACUUGUGCUAAUACCGAAUGUGCCCUUCGGGGGAAAGAGUUAUCGCCUUUAGAGCGGCCCGCGUCUGAUUAGCUAGUUGGUGAGGUAAAGGCUCACCAAGGCGACGAUCAGUAGCUGGUCUGAGAGGAUGAACAGCCACAUUGGGACUGGGACACGGCCCAACCUCCUACGGGAGGCAGCAGUGGGGAAUCUUGCGCAAUGGGCGAAAGCCUGCCGCAGCCAUGCCGCGUGAAUGAUGAAGGUCUUAGGAUUGUAAAAUUCUUUCCCCGGGGACGAUAAUGACGGUACCCGGAGAAGAAGCCCCGGCUAACUUCGUGCCAGCAGCCGCCGUAACAC